AAAAAACAUAAGAGGGUUCAAAACUUGAAGGACAAAUUUCCCCAUUUUUCCGAGGAAUCCAAUAAUCUUCUUCUUUAUUUUAAUCCAAGAUAGAGUUCCAUUGAUCGGAGAAAUAAAACAAUGAUCAAGGCCUACACUUAGCAUCAGAACAGGAAACACUAAGGCCCAAGUACAAUACAAAGUCAAAUAGGAAGAAGUCCAACUUGGAUUCUAAGACCCGAACCCACACUUAACCCGGCCAAAAGAUCCGAAAAGAAGUGGAUAUCAUGUCGCUACCUCUGGGUUCAACAAUCGCCCUAGUGAAGAACCGAUGGAAGAUUCAUCAACUGUGGCCAGGAGCACUGACUCUUUAACGCUUGGAUGUCUAAGGAAGGCCAGAAGCUCAGUCGAUCGCAUCCUCCAAAGACAGACCCUAUCUUUAGACUUAACAGGCAAUAUGGAAACCAGAUUUAGUUUGGAUGGGAAGUUGCUUCCACUUGAACAAAGAAAGAAACAAUCUCCCGAUCAACAUAGCCACCUCCCACGGUCAAGGGAAGCUUCUUACAGCUCACUAAUCGAACAACAAGGAGGCAACCGACGACUUAUAGUGAACUGUCUCACCAUCUAAGACCACCCACACGAACCGCCCCUCAGUACUAUUCGCUUAUAAGUCAUUUUAGUGUCAUAACUGAGAAAUCCCCAACCUGUAAAACAAAGACAGAAUCCAUUCAAGACCAAGAAGAAAAACAAAGCAGUUAAACCAAAAUCUCUCAAUAUGAAGUUUGACUGCCACCCCACUUUACUGUGGAGAGGGAAAAUCCACAGCAGCGCAGGAAGAGGCCCUUCACCAUUCGGAAGGGCAAAGAGAGCUUCCUACUAAGACAGAAAAAUUGGUGAUGACCCGAACAGACCUAUCUCACCAAGAAUUGACGAUCAGAAUGCAUUUCUGUAUGGUCGUUGGAAUCCAUUUAUCAAUAACCAAUAUAUUCAUUUU
rnacentral:lncRNA from 1 species